UUAGGACUCGUUCAGUUGAAGGUUUAAAAACACCAAAGGUACCUGUACUUCCACAGCAAUCCAUGAGCCGUAAUCAAAAUCUCAAUGCAUGGGACUUCAUCUGAGAUAGGCACAUCUAAUAAAGAGUUACGGCAAAGAGAAUCAAAAUUAAAGAGGUUAGAAGAAGAACUAAAAAAAGAAAAAGCCUCCAUAAGCGACACCCUUAAAGAUCAAUCACGGCUAAAAACAUACUCUGUAAACAUGGAAGCCAAAGUUAAAGAGCUAGAAAAUAGUAACCGCAUAUUGCGUAUGAAAAUAGUUGGCACUCAAAAUCAACCUUCAGACUCACCUACAGAAACUAGAAAGAACAAUAGCCUACCACAGAACUCAAACG
rnacentral:lncRNA from 1 species